rnacentral:rRNA from 1 species
UACGAAGGGGGCUAGCGUUGUUCGGAAUUACUGGGCGUAAAGGGCGCGUAGGCGGCCUUCUAAGUCGAACGUGAAAUCCCCGGGCUCAACCCGGGAACUGCGUCCGAUACUGGAAGGCUUGAAUCCGGGAGAGGGAUGCGGAAUUCCAGGUGUAGCGGUGAAAUUCGUAGAUAUCGGGUGGAACACCUGUGGCGAAGGCGGCCAUCUGGACGUCAACUGACGCUGAGACGCGAAAGCGUGGGUAGCAAACAGG